GAUGAACGCUGGCGGCGUGCCUAAUACAUGCAAGUAGAACGCUGAAGGAGGAGCUUGCUCUUCUGGAUGAGUUGCGAACGGGUGAGUAACGCGUAGGUAACCUGCCUGGUAGCGGGGGAUAACCAUUGGAAACGAUAGCUAAUACCGCAUGACAACAGUUAUUGCAUGAUAACUGUUUAAAAGGGGCAACUGCUCCACUACCAGAUGGACCUGCGUUGUAUUAGCUAGUUGGUGAGGUAACGGCUCACCAAGGCGACGAUACAUAGCCGACCUGAGAGGGUGAUCGGCCACACUGGGACUGAGACACGGCCCAGACUCCUACGGGAGGCAGCAGUAGGGAAUCUUCGGCAAUGGACGGAAGUCUGACCGAGCAACGCCGCGUGAGUGAAGAAGGUUUUCGGAUCGUAAAGCUCUGUUGUAAGAGAAGAACGAGUGUGAGAGUGGAAAGUUCACACUGUGACGGUAUCUUACCAGAAAGGGACGGCUAACUACGUG
rnacentral:rRNA from 1 species